rfam:Colletotrichum sublineola strain TX430BB Scaffolds0230.1, whole genome shotgun sequence.
ACAUACGACCAUACCCACUGGAGAACUCGGGAUCCCGUCCGCUCUCCCAUAGAUAAGCCAGUGAGGGCCCUCUUGCCUACAGGGUCUGCGAUGACCAGCGAGAAAAGCAGGCCUUCCGUUAUGUGGC